UACGAGGGGGGCGAGCGUUGUUCGGAAUUAUUGGGCGUAAAGGGUGCGUAGGCGGUUUGGUAAGUCUCGUGUGAAAUCUCCGGGCUCAACUCGGAGCCUGCACGAGAAACUGCCGGGCUUGAGUGUGGGAGAGGUGAGUGGAAUUCCUGGUGUAGCGGUGAAAUGCGUAGAUAUCAGGAGGAACACCUGUGGCGAAAGCGGCUCACUGGACCAUAACUGACGCUGAUGCACGAAAGCUAGGGGGAGCAAACAGG
rnacentral:rRNA from 1 species